rnacentral:misc_RNA from 1 species
CGCAGCCGCGGUAAUUCCAGCUCCAAUAGCGUAUAUUAAAGUUAUUGCAGUUAAAAAGCUCGUAGUUGAAUUUCGGGAUUGGCGCAUCGGUCGUGCCUCACGGGGUAUGAACUGGUGCAGUCAAUUUCUCACCUUCUGGAGAACCGCGAUGUCCUUAAUUGGAUGCCGUGGGGAACCAGGACCUUUACUUUGAAAAAUUGAGUGUUUAAAGCAGGCAUUUUUGCUUGAAUACAUUAGCAUGGAAUAAUAAAAUAGGACGGCAUGGUUCUAUUUUGUUGGUUUCUAGGACCACCGUAAUGAUUAAUAGGGAUAGUUGGGGGCAUUAGUAUUCAAUUGUCAGAGGUGAAAUUCUUGGAUUUAUUGAAGACUAACUACUGCGAAAGCAUUUGCCAAGGAUGUUUUCAUUAAUCAAAGAACGAAAGUUAGGGGAUCGAAGACGAUCAGAUACCGUCGUAGUCUUAACCAUAAACUAUGCCGACUAGGAAUCAGACGAUGUUAAUUUUUAAUGUAACUCGUUUAG